rnacentral:sRNA from 1 species
UAUUCUGCCCCACGGGGAAGGAUGAGAAGCUUCGACCAAGGUUCGACUCGAGCGAAGCGAGAGAACGUUGCCGCAGGCAACGGCCCGAAGGGCGAAGCGCUUUAGCGCCGAGUAAUCCUUCCCCACCACUG